ACCGCGAUAGCUCAGCUGGUAGAGCAUCUGCCCGGUAUGCGGAGGGUCGCCGGAUCGAUUCCGGCUCGCGGCG
rnacentral:tRNA from 1 species